UGGGUGGUGGCUCAGUGGCAGAGCACUUGCCUAGCAUGGUGAGGCACUGGGUUCAAUCCCCAGCCCCACAU
rnacentral:tRNA from 1 species